UACAUUAACAUACAGUAUAUAUUUUACUGCAAUUGGAAUGAGAACAGAAAAGAUUAGCAUAGCCCCUGACACAAGGAUGAUAGACACAAUCAUGGAAGUAUUCAUCUUGUG